CCCCCCCCCCCCUCUUUUUCUCUCUCUUUCUCUUUCCUUCUCUCUCUCUUCUUCUCUCUCUCUCUCUCUCUCUCUCUCUCUCUCGACUCACUUACCGUGGCCGACUCUGUCAUCCUGGACUCGGGACCCCGACAGUCUGGGAGCCACCGCAGCAGUUCCGCCACUGAGCCAGCCCGCUCCUGACCAGCAAACAUGUGUAAUCUGCACCCAGUACCUCCGCCGGGUCACCUCCAUGAAUCAGUCCCUGCCGCAGCCCCCGAGACCCUGCCGCUCGUAGGGAGCGGUCAGACACCUCCCAACCUUGACAACUCCAAACUUGGCGUUCUCAGGUGCUCCUGACAUUCUUUUUCUCUCUAUAGUCAACUUAUCCUCUUUUCCCUUCAAGGAGGGCCUGUUCUGCUAAACCUUUUCUGGACCCCAGUUCAGCUCUUAACAACCAUGUGUUACGAUACUUCUCUGCCUUUCAGGCAAAAAACCUGCAUUCACAUUUCUGCUCUCUUUUAGCACCAAGACACCAUCGCUCCACAUUCCAACAUCCCAGAGUUUGCUAACCACCCCCCUACUUCAACUUAUCUCUUUCUUCUUUUCUUACUUUUUUUUUUCUUUGAUUCAACACACCUCAGACGGUACGAGCUGUACACAACUAGUUUACUUCCAAAAGUAAGCUUACAACUUUCUUUUACUAGGAUUGCAGUAGCAGUUAUAGCUUAAAUACAUACUGGCUAGCUGUGGCUUACUGGGUCUAACAUCUUUGAUAUACUGGCUACUAGAUUUUUUACUCUUCCUCACUCCUGAACUGAAAUUUUAUGAGCUACUCCAUUUUCUGUACUUAUGUAUAAAUGAUAAAGGAUUUUUCUAACAAGGGUAAGCUUAAAGCUGGUACUUAGGCUAGUUUUAACUUCAACUCUUUUAAUUUAACAAUAUCUUCCUUGGUCCAUUUUAUAUCAUCUCCCUCUGUCAAUUUUUCAUACACAAAUUUUACUGCCUGUGUGUACCCCUCAAUCCAUAAUCUAUAAUAUUUCAAUAAUCCAAGUAAUUUUCUGGUCUCCCUCUUUGAAGAGGGAGGGAGAAGGGAUAAAAUUCCUGCAAUUCUCUCAUGGUUGGGUUUCCAGCUACCAUUAUUUAUUAAGUGUCUAAGAUAUUCUACCUCUGGUUGUACAAAUUAGUUUCCCUUUUGAUACCCUUAAUCCUCCUUUUUUAAAAUUUUUUUUCCCCCAGAGAAUUCAAAAAUUGUAUAGUAGCCUCUCUCACUUCAACUUCAGCCUCCUUAGAUAGUAAAAAUCAUCCACAUACUGGAUAAUUUGUAUUCCAGGAGGAGUAGGGAAAUCUUGUAGUAUUGUUUCUAAAGCUUGCCCAAAUAAGUUUGGGGAUUCCAUAAACCCCUGUGGUAAUUUUGUCCAUCUUAAUUGCUGCUUUCUCCCAGUUUUUGGAUCCUCCCAUUCGAAGGCAAAAAUAUCUUGGCUCUCCUUGGCUAGUGGGCAAGCCCAAAAGGCAUCUUUAAGAUCCACCACACUAAACCACUGAUGCUGGGGUGGGCCUUUACUUAGAAGAGUAUAAGAAUUUGGUAUCACUGGGUAGUGAGUCUGAGUUCUUUUGUUAACCUCCCUUAAAUCUUGUACUAGUCUAUAACUCCCAUCGGACUCCUUUACUGGGAGAAUAGGGGUAUUAUGAGGAGACAUACAAGGUUCUAAUGUCCCAUCCUUUAUUAGUCCUUCUGUUACUGGCUUCAAACCUUCCCUUCCUCCUAAAGAUAUCGGAUAGUGACGUACAGUAUGGGACCAUCUUCUCUCUCAAUUGUAACCCUUAUGGGGUCAAUAUUUAAUCCUCUCCUAUUUCCUUCCCCAGCCCAAACUUCCUUGUUGAUUUUUCUUCAUCCUCUUGGCCUAAUUUUAAAACUCUAGCUGUCUUUUUCCCAUCUUCUGGUAUAACCCCUAUUCCUAAUUUCACUUGUAAGUCUCUCCCCAAUAAGUUGCUACCUGCCCCUGGGACCAAUAAGACAUCUCCCAUCCAAAUUUUAGUUUCCCCCCUCAAUUACCACAUCUUUAAUGACCGGAACUGUAAAACUUUCUCCUUUUGCCCCUGUUAUUCUCACUGUAUGUUUGCUCACACUAUAACCUUUUGAAAUAUUUAACAGGCAAGUUCUUUCUGCCUCUGUGUCUACUACAAAUUCCAAUUCUUCUUGGGGACCCACUUUUAAAGUUAUCACAGGCUCCAGAUGGUAUUUGUCCCCUAAAAAGUAGAGCCUAUGAUCUCCCUAAUCCUCCUCUGUGCCCAUCUCUUUAAAGAUUUUCAGAUCUUCUGCUUGCUUAUGACCAAUUUCCUUUUUCUCUUGUUUAUCUAUUUAGUUGGAGUUUCUUCUUUUCUCUCUAUAAAGCUGUACCUUAAAAACAUUUUUUUUUUUGCAUUUCGCCUUUGAUAUGCUGUCUCAUUUAUUCCCUUGAUUAUGAAAUUAUGAUAAUUAUUCACGUGGUUCCUCCCCUCCUCAUUAUUUUGGCCCCACUCAGGAGGUACAGUUGGCAUUUUGUCUUCUCUGGGGGUCCCUGCGGAUUAUCUUUUUUCCCAAGCUUUUAUUCUAGCUGCUCUGAUUAAUUGCCUUUCUUCCUGAGAAAAUAUUAUUUUCAUUAUAGACCGCAUCUCUUCUCAAGUAUAAAUUUUUGGACGUAAAAAUUGGUCUAACUGUUCAGCUGUGCCUAUGGGAUCCUCCAAAUAUUCCUUUUAUUUAUUUCUUAAAAUUUCUGACCUCAGACGAAGUCAAAGGGGCAUUUACAAACCCCGGUCCGCCCCCUCCUAUGGGAACCUCUCUUAAUAUAAAUAGACUAAUCCCUUUUUCCCAUUCUUUUUGGAUUUUUAUCUCCUAUAGCCUUUCUCCUGUGUUUUUAGGAAGAAUCAGGAGAGGGCUUUCCUUUAACUGAACUUUUAGCGUUUCGAUAAGGUGUUCCCUUUAGAAAGUGAAUUUCUCUGAACAGCCGGAGCUGUGGUUACCAAGGGAACGGAGCUCGAGGCAGGACGGGUGGGACUCGGCAUAGCGCCGAGUCUCGGUCCUCCGAAGGCGGGGUCUGCAGGCGGAAUCGCCCGAGGGGGAUUUUCCGGUGCAGACCGAUCUGGAGCGUGGAUAGCCCCCCACAUGGCUAAUGGCGGCUGAUCCGGCAGAGACCAAGCCGGCGAGAGACCCCGGCUGCAGCGGCGGUAGCCGGCCCGGGCAGGGCAGCCGGGAAUGGGACAGACGGGGCAGACGGGACUCCCCGUCGAUGCGGUCGGCGCAGUGACCACGGUCCACACGGCAGGACAGACCCCCACCCCCGCCAGCACGACCGGCGGAGCGGCCGCGGGCCGGGCGGCUGGGACUGGGGCCGACGGACUGUGCCCGAGCCGGCACAGGGGCAGGGGGAUGCAGCCACGAACGAGUGGGGGAAGAAAUGGAACGGAGGAGCCCAGGGACAGAUGUCUAUUUCGGAAUGUCGAAAUUCCUGAAGGCAACAGAAGAACAAUACCCCAGUUUACCUAUGAAUAGACGUGGCCAGCACGAUCAUCCUCAAGAGUAAUCAGGAGACACUCAAGAGUGAUCAUCGCUCGACUGAUACCAUCGAUCAAGAUAACAGAAGUCGCCAGAAAGAUACAUCUGAAUAGGCAACUUCCCCUGACAUGAUCAGCGCCUGCCACUACUCAGGAAACAGCAAUUGUCCAGCCCUGCACAGUGAAAGAAACUCUCAUGCAUAUGAGGGGCUACAAAAGAAAUCGAGGCACCUCUGCCUCAGGCAGAAAAAACUGUAUAAAAUAGCCUCGCUGUAAAUGGCAUUCGUGAACAGAGGGGGAUCCGAUGCGAUAGAAGUCGGAUCUAUGUUCACCCAGCACCAAUCCCAGGCUCGACACUGUCUCUUUGGUUGUGGGUUUUUGAGGACCAUAUUUUGGUCGUGGAAAAUAAAAUCGCAUUUAUUAAUUUGGAUUUCUGACUGAUCAUUUAUAACAUUAGCAACUCAAUGGGAAAAAAAAUUCCACAAGUAACAAGGAAAGAAAAGAAAAAACCCAACCCCCAACAUUAUCCUCCUUCUGCAGUAUUAUCAAUUAAUUCUGCUCAAGCCCUGGCAAGAACCUGCCACCCCCUUAGUUUUAGAUGAAAAAUCAAUCUCCUCUAUCUUUUAUCACAUAUAGCUUAUCCCCAAAGAUAUAUAAGUGAACAAAAAGCCUACCUGCCAAUCUUCACUGCAUUUAUGAAUGGGAUCAUAGUCCUUCAGGGCUUAUUUGCCUUGCUACAGAAUUAAAUUGAAAAUAUCUGAAAAAUCUGAGACAUUAGUUAUGUAAUCUCCCUCCUAAUUUACCAGAGCUUGUCUACAACAAAAAAUUUGGGUCUGGAGAAUGUUAGAAAGGUUUUCAAUAGCUAGUGGAGACAUGAAAUCAAAUGUAACCAAAACAAACAUUUGUUCAUAUAAAGAAGACCCUGCUGCAUUAGCUACAAGGGCCAGUCCUUAAUUUUGAAAAUCAAUAAUUCCCUCCACUAUUGUGAAAAGUGCAUAUUAUAUGGCUUUAUGCAGAUAUUUACUAUAUGUAUUAUGUUGUAUUGAUUAGUAGUGCUGUAUUAACAUUUUAAUAGUAUUGUAAAUGUAGUUUUGUAGUUAAAAUGUACCUUUUGUAGUUAAAACAGAAACUAUGUAUGUGGGACAUUUUUUUAAAGAAAGAAAUUAGGUACUUGUGCCAGAUAGCAGCCACAGGACACGUAAAUCUUUCAGAGAAAGAGAAUUUAUUGCUCAUUUAUGUAGUAUAUAAUAGAGAUAUGUCAUGCUGUGUAUGUAUAUAAAAUAUUGUGAGAUCCAACAUAUGGCUUUGACCACCCUGGCUAAAAUCAGAGUCUUAUUUCUAUUCAACUAGUUCCCGGACAUUGUCAUAAUAUCAAGCCCAUUAAUGUAAGAAUGAAACCUUCCCAGGCCAUAAGCGCCGAUUUCAUAAAAUGUCUGAGCCGUUCACGAGAACUUGCACCCCAGGAGAUUACAUCGACUAGCUCAAGCACUGGCAAUACUCUGUUACAUGUGAAAGAAGGCUAAUCUGAAGAAGCCCAGACAGCCAUCCGGACCUCUGGACUGGCUUUUGUAUACUUCUGCAUCUGUAUGGUCCCAGUUAUACAUGUGAAGGGACACAAAAGAACCUUCCGUCAUUUCUGCCUCAGGUCGAAUAAACGGGAUAUGAGCCAGCUGCAUGAAGCAUUCGGGGUGAACCGCUAAGGAGACGCUGGCACUCUGUCAGUCAGAUCCAGGUUCACCCAGCGCUGACUUCCUGGGUUGACGCUGCCUUGGCUGUGGUGGUUUUUUGAAAUCCUAUUUUUUGUUGUUGAUCUAAUAAAUCUUUGUUAAAUUUUUUAAUAAA